GGAAAUGCAAUGAGAGGAACAGUAAAGUUCUGUUGAGCAUUCAGAGAGCCCCCGUUUAGGUGAGAGGGGGAAGCAAUGCAGAGCUUGAAGAUCAUCCUUGAGCAUUGUAGCUUGAACCGAUAGUAAAGCUACCAGGAAUGCACCCUUUAUCGUGCCAGCGUAUGAAUACGUACGCCAGAGGUUUAGCUAGCGAUAGCUAAAUAAAAUUAGGUGGUAACACGGUAAUGGAUCGUCCUAAGC
rnacentral:ncRNA from 1 species